UACGAGGGGUGCAAGCGUUAUUCGGAAUUAUUGGGCGUAAAGGGUGCGUAGGUGGUAUAUUAAGUCAAUUGUUAAAUUCCCCCGGCCUAACCGGGGGUAUGCGGUAGAAACUGAUAUGCUAGAGGGUGGAAGAGAGAAGUGGAAUUCUCGGUGUAGCGGUAAAAUGCGUAGAUAUUGGGAAGAACACCGGUGGCGAAGGCGGCGACCUGGUCCUUGACUGACGCUGAGGCGCGAAAGCGUGGGGAGCAAACAGG
rnacentral:rRNA from 1 species